AGCGUAGACGGACUGGCAAGUCUGAUGUGAAAGGCGGGGGCUCAACCCCUGGACUGCAUUGGAAACUGUUAGUCUUGAGUGCCGGAGAGGUAAGCGGAAUUCCUAGUGUAGCGGUGAAAUGCGUAGAUAUUAGGAGGAACACCAGUGGCGAAGGCGGCUUACUGGACGGUAACUGACGUUGAGGCUCGAAAGCGGUGGGGAAGCAAACA
rnacentral:rRNA from 1 species